GAGGAAAGUGGGAGGCGUGCUUAACACAUGCAAGUCGAACGGAAAGGCCCUGCUUUUGUGGGGUGCUCGAGUGGCGAACGGGUGAGUAACACGUGAGUAACCUGCCCUUGACUUUGGGAUAACUUCAGGAAACUGGGGCUAAUACCGGAUAGGAGCUCCUGCUGCAUGGUGGGGGUUGGAAAGUUUCGGCGGUUGGGGAUGGACUCGCGGCUUAUCAGCUUGUUGGUGGGGUAGUGGCUUACCAAGGCUUUGACGGGUAGCCGGCCUGAGAGGGUGACCGGCCACAUUGGGACUGAGAUACGGCCCAGACUCCUACGGGAGGCAGCAGUGGGGAAUAUUGCACAAUGGGCGGAAGCCUGAUGCAGCAACGCCGCGUGCGGGAUGACGGCCUUCGGGGUGUAAACCGCUUUCGCCUGUGACGAAGCGUGAGUGACGGUAAUGGGUAAAGAAGCACCGGCUAACUACGUG
rnacentral:rRNA from 1 species